AAAGGACUGGGGGUGGCAGUGCACAAUAAGAUGGAUAUAAAUCAGCAGUGUGCCCUUGUUGCCAAGAAGACUGACAGCAUACUAGGCUGCAUUAAUAGGAGCCUUGCCAGCAGAUCAAAGGAAGUAAUUAUUCUGCCUUAUUUUGCACUGGUAAGGUCACAUCUGAAGUACUGUGUCCAGUUUUGCCCCCCACCCCCUCAC